rnacentral:misc_RNA from 1 species
GGCUUGGAAUUCUUCACAGAAGACUGUCGAGCAUCGCCUCGAUGUCGGCAUAAAGAUCAGUUGCUGACAACAAAUUUCCAAACUUGUGCGGAUGUCGUUCUGGGCGGCGGCAUCAACCGACGGCUCGGUGAAGAGAACACCGGGGCCACAAUAAUCAUCCCCCCGGGGCCGGCACGAAACUAAAUUCGGCCGGCCUCCCCUUAGGCAGACGAUCAGCCACACACCUGAACAGGCCGGAUGCGCCAACCAACCGGAGUCAGCACGCGCUGCCGGAC